AUUGAACGCUGGCGGCAUGCCUUACACAUGCAAGUCGAACGGCAGCGGACCUUCGGGUGCCGGCGAGUGGCGAACGGGUGAGUAAUAUAUCGGAACGUACCUUUCAGUGGGGGAUAACGUAGCGAAAGUUACGCUAAUACCGCAUAUUCUGUGAGCAGGAAAGCAGGGGAUCGCAAGACCUUGCGCUGAUUGAGCGGCCGAUAUCAGAUUAGCUAGUUGGUGAGGUAAAGGCUCACCAAGGCGACGAUCUGUAGCGGGUCUGAGAGGAUGAUCCGCCACACUGGGACUGAGACACGGCCCAGACUCCUACGGGAGGCAGCAGUUAGGAAUUUUCCACAAUGGGCGCAAGCCUGAUGGAGCAACGCCGCGUGCAGGAUGAAGGUUUUCGGAUUGUAAACUGCUUUUAUGUGUGAAGAAUAUGACGGUAACACAUGAAUAAGGAUCGGCUAACUCCGUGCCAGCAGCCGCGGUAAAGUAGUCG
rnacentral:rRNA from 1 species